GGGUGUGAGGGUGACCUGGCUGCGACAUCUGUCACCCCUUGAUCACCAGGGUUGACUCGGCUGAUCUGGCUGGCUAGGAGGAUGUCCCUUUCCUCCCUCACUGUUCCACAUGUGUCCCCCAGAAACCGCAUUGUCUCAAUCUGAACAAAGCAAACCAAACUUCAACACCGUAAAUAUCUCAGUGUUCAAUAUCUGGGAUUCACUCACAAUCUUUUGGGCUCCUCCAAGGGGUUUAAGUCACUUCUCCAGCUCUGCCCUUGGCAGCUUUGCU
rnacentral:snRNA from 1 species